CAAUGAGCCAGUGCCCACAGAAGCAGGAGGACUAUAGCAGGAAAGGAAAGUAGUGGUUUAAUCCUCCACCCAGAGAGAUGGCAGAAUUGGAAGCAGGGUGCCGCUGGGACAAAGCGCUUUGUGACUGGUGAGCCUCUUCUGAUCAGUUCUUUCACAAAGAGGAGCGAUGGACAGCAUUCUGUGAAUUACAGAAUCACAGGAUUUAGAGGACUAUGGGACCUCUCUCUAUGUCAUCCAGGGCUUUGAAUUCCUAGGAAGAGUCCUAGGAGAAUAACAUAGAUGCUCCUCAAAAUGGCUGAGCUAAAGACCUUUUCUGAGAUUCAGGAGUACAAUCAAGA
rnacentral:lncRNA from 1 species